GGCCCAGCUUAUGCUAACAUGUCUACCUCCCUACUGGGCAGGAAUCGGGCGCCUGAUUGCUGAGUGUCAUCUCAACCCCAUCAUCCUGCCCCUGUGGCAUGUCGGAAUGAAUGACGUCCUUCCUAACAGUCCGCCCUACUUCCCCCGCUUUGGACAGAAAAUCACCGUGCUGAUCGGGAAGCCCUUCAGUGCCCUGCCUGUACUCGAGCGGCUCCGGGCGGAGAACAAGUCAGCUGUGGAGAUGCGGAAAGUCCUGACGGACUUCAUUCAAGAGGAAUUCCAGCGUCUGAAGACUCAGGCAGAGCAGCUCCACAACCACCUCCAGCCUGGGAGAUAGGCCUUGCUUGCUGCCUUCUGGAUUCUUGGCCUGCACAGAGCUGGGGCUGAGGGAUGGACUGAUGCUUUUAGCUCAAAUGUGGCUUUUAGACAGAUUUGUUCAUAGACCCUCUCAAGUGCCCUCUCCGAGCUGAUGUUCUCUCCCGGGGGCUGGCGUCAGGAGGGAGCAUAGAAGGCAGGUGAGCAACCAGUUGGCUAGGG
rnacentral:sRNA from 1 species